UUGGGUGAGGAGACCAAAAGGAAAGAGUUCAUCAAGGAAGCCUAUAUAUUUCUUAAAGGUGGCAUCUCCAUGAAAUGCUAGUCAGAAAGAGUUGAAUUAUCCUGCUACUUACCAAGAGGAGAAAAACAGCAUAAGAGCACUGGUUAAUGGGUGUGCUUUGGAUUCACACUGGAUCCUGGGAGCAGAAUUGUUCCCUGUGGAUGUACAAAUAUCAUGGUAACUCCCCUCAGGCCCCUCGGGUGAACCAGGGUGUAUCGCGACUCUUCCCGCGCCCGAAGGAUGACGUGUGCUCCUGAGGAAUGUGCAGCACUCCUGGCUCUGGGGUAAGAACCAGGGGUAGUGCUGGGCUCUCAUGCUGCCCCUCAGCUGGCUG
ensembl:lncRNA